ACGAACGCUGGCGGCGUGCUUAACACAUGCAAGUCGAACGGAAAGGCCCUGCUUUUGUGGGGUGCUCGAGUGGCGAACGGGUGAGUAACACGUGAGUAACCUGCCCUUGACUUUGGGAUAACUUCAGGAAACUGGGGCUAAUACCGGAUAGGAGCUCCUGCUGCAUGGUGGGGGCUGGAAAGUUUCGGCGGUUGGGGAUGGACUCGCGGCUUAUCAGCUUGUUGGUGGGGUAGUGGCUUACCAAGGCUUUGACGGGUAGCCGGCCUGAGAGGGUGACCGGCCACAUUGGGACUGAGAUACGGCCCAGACUCCUACGGGAGGCAGCAGUGGGGAAUAUUGCACAAUGGGCGGAAGCCUGAUGCAGCAACGCCGCGUGCGGGAUGACGGCCUUCGGGUUGUAAACCGCUUUCGCCUGUGACGAAGCGUGAGUGACGGUAAUGGGUAAAGAAGCACCGGCUAACUACGUG
rnacentral:rRNA from 1 species